rnacentral:piRNA from 1 species
AUCUAUGAUGAUUCUGGAGCUCAUGGU